AGCUAAAGCCCCCCCCUUUCAAAUACUCUCUCUCGAGUUUUUCCCUCUCAGCGGCAGCGCCCGCUCUCAUUUACUACUUCCUUCUCUUGCUCUAUUUUACGCUCUCCUUUAUUUUUCUUUACUAUUACCACUUAAGUACUACAUCAGAUUUCUUUCUCUCAAACCCUAGAAGCCACAUUCGCGAACCCUAGCACAGCUACAUUCUAUCCAAUCAUGGAAAUUAAUCCAGAGUUCCUCUCCCAAUGUUUUCUUCAUACACUCUCUCCAGCACCGGAGCCACGCCGCGCCGCUGAAGCCAAACUCACAGAAGCUGCUGACAGCCCAAAUUAUGCCCUCGCCGUUCUCCGCUUAGUCGCGGAACCCUCCGUCGAUGAGCAGAUCCGUCACGCUGCUGCCGUCAACUUUAAGAAC
rnacentral:misc_RNA from 1 species